CCGACCUUAGCUCAGUUGGUAGAGCGGAGGACUGUAGAUCCUUAGGUCGCUGGUUCGAAUCCGGCAGGUCGGA